rnacentral:rRNA from 1 species
GAUGAACGCUGGCGGCGUGCCUAAUACAUGCAAGUCGAGCGAACAGACGAGGAGCUUGCUCCUCUGACGUUAGCGGCGGACGGGUGAGUAACACGUGGAUAACCUACCUAUAAGACUGGGAUAACUUCGGGAAACCGGAGCUAAUACCGGAUAAUAUAUUGAACCGCAUGGUUCAAUAGUGAAAUACGGUUUUGCUGUCACUUAUAGAUGGAUCCGCGCCGCAUUAGCUAGUUGGUAAGGUAACGGCUUACCAAGGCAACGAUGCGUAGACGACCUGAGAGGGUGAUAGGCCACACUGGAACUGAGACACGGUCAAGACUACUACGGGAGGCAGCAGUAGGGAAUCUUACGCAGUGGGCGAAAGCCUGACGGAGCAACGCCGCGUGAGUGAUGAAGGUCUUGGGUUCGUAAAACUCUGUUAUUAGGGAAGAACAAAUGUGUAAGUAACUAUGCACGUCUUGACGGUACCUAAUAAGAAAGCCACGGCUAACUACGUG